AUGAACGCUGGCGGCGUGCCUAAUACAUGCAAGUCGCGCGAACAGACGAGGAGCUUGCUCCUCUGACGUUAGCGGCGGACGGGUGAGUAACACGUGGAUAACCUACCUAUAAGACUGGGAUAACUUCGGGAAACCGGAGCUAAUACCGGAUAAUAUAUUGAACCGCAUGGUUCAAUAGUGAAAGACGGUUUUGCUGUCACUUAUAGAUGGAUCCGCGCCGCAUUAGCUAGUUGGUAAGGUAACGGCUUACCAAGGCGACGAUGCGUAGCCGACCUGAGAGGGUGAUCGGCCACACUGGAACUGAGACACGGUCCAGACUCCCACGGGAGGCAGCAGUAGGGAAUCUUCCGCAAUGGGCGAAAGCCUGACGGAGCAACGCCGCGUGAGUGAUGAAGGUCUUCGGAUCGUAAAACUCUGUUAUUAGGGAAGAACAAAUGUGUAAGUAACUAUGCACGUCUUGACGGUACCUAAUCAGAAAGCCACGGCUAACUACGUG
rnacentral:rRNA from 1 species